AUGCAAGUCGAGCGGUAGCACAGAGAGCUUGCUCUCGGGUGACGAGCGGCGGACGGGUGAGUAAUGUCUGGGAAACUGCCUGAUGGAGGGGGAUAACUACUGGAAACGGUAGCUAAUACCGCAUAACGUCGCAAGACCAAAGUGGGGGACCUUCGGGCCUCAUGCCAUCAGAUGUGCCCAGAUGGGAUUAGCUAGUAGGUGGGGUAACGGCUCACCUAGGCGACGAUCCCUAGCUGGUCUGAGAGGAUGACCAGCCACACUGGAACUGAGACACGGUCCAGACUCCUACGGGAGGCAGCAGUGGGGAAUAUUGCACAAUGGGCGCAAGCCUGAUGCAGCCAUGCCGCGUGUAUGAAGAAGGCCUUCGGGUUGUAAAGUACUUUCAGCGGGGAGGAAGGCGAUAAGGUUAAUAACCUUGUCGAUUGACGUUACCCGCAGAAGAAGCACCGGCUAACUCCGUGCCAGCAGCCGCGGUAAUACGGAGGGUGCAAGCGUUAAUCGGAAUUACUGGGCGUAAAGCGCACGCAGGCGGUCUGUCAAGUCGGAUGUGAAAUCCCCGGGCUCAACCUGGGAACUGCAUUCGAAACUGGCAGGCUAGAGUCUUGUAGAGGGGGGUAGAAUUCCAGGUGUAGCGGUGAAAUGCGUAGAGAUCUGGAGGAAUACCGGUGGCGAAGGCGGCCCCCUGGACAAAGACUGACGCUCAGGUGCGAAAGCGUGGGGAGCAAACAGGAUUAGAUACCCUGGUAGUCCACGCCGUAAACGAUGUCGAUUUGGAGGUUGUGCCCUUGAGGCGUGGCUUCCGGAGCUAACGCGUUAAAUCGACCGCCUGGGGAGUACGGCCGCAAGGUUAAAACUCAAAUGAAUUGACGGGGGCCCGCACAAGCGGUGGAGCAUGUGGUUUAAUUCGAUGCAACGCGAAGAACCUUACCUGGUCUUGACAUCCACAGAACUUAGCAGAGAUGGUUUGGUGCCUUCGGGAACUGUGAGACAGGUGCUGCAUGGCUGUCGUCAGCUCGUGUUGUGAAAUGUUGGGUUAAGUCCCGCAACGAGCGCAACCCUUAUCCUUUGUUGCCAGCGGUUAGGCCGGGAACUCAAAGGAGACUGCCAGUGAUAAACUGGAGGAAGGUGGGGAUGACGUCAAGUCAUCAUGGCCCUUACGACCAGGGCUACACACGUGCUACAAUGGCAUAUACAAAGAGAAGCGACCUCGCGAGAGCAAGCGGACCUCAUAAAGUAUGUCGUAGUCCGGAUUGGAGUCUGCAACUCGACUCCAUGAAGUCGGAAUCGCUAGUAAUCGUAGAUCAGAAUGCUACGGUGAAUACGUUCCCGGGCCUUGUACACACCGCCCGUCACACCAUGGGAGUGGGUUGCAAAAGAAGUAGGUAGCUUAACCUUCGGGAGGGCGCUUACCA
rnacentral:rRNA from 1 species